rnacentral:rRNA from 1 species
CCUACGGGAGGCAGCAGUGAGGAAUAUUGGACAAUGGGCGCAAGCCUGAUCCAGCCAUGCCGCGUGCAGGAAGACGCAUCUAUGGUGUGUAAACUGCUUUUGUACGGGAAGAAACACUCCUUCGUGAAGGAGCUUGACGGUACCGUAAGAAUAAGGAUCGGCUAACUCCGUGCCAGCAGCCGCGGUAAUACGGAGGAUCCAAGCGUUAUCCGGAAUCAUUGGGUUUAAAGGGUCCGUAGGCGGUUUAAUAAGUCAGUGGUGAAAUCUGGUCGCCCAACGAUCAAACGGCCAUUGAUACUGUUAGACUUGAAUUACUAGGAAGUAACUAGAAUAUGUAGUGUAGCGGUGAAAUGCUUAGAUAUUACAUGGAAUACCAAUUGCGAAGGCAGGUUACUACUAGUGGAUUGACGCUGAUGGACGAAAGCGUGGGGAGCGAACAGGAUUAGAUACCCUGGUAGUCCACGCCGUAAACGAUGGAUACUANUGUGGUGCAGUAUAGUGNGUAGAGAAGUAGAGUAAGUAGUACCACCGUCGGGAGGUACGGUUACGUCGAAGAAAGUAAGUUAAAGUUAACGUAAAGAAAGUUAAGUACGGCGNGAGAGAGCGACGGACGACGACGAGGGAGGAGGAG